rnacentral:rRNA from 1 species
CCAGACUCCUACGGGAGGCAGCAGUGAGGAAUAUUGGUCAAUGGACGAGAGUCUGGACCAGCCAAGUAGCGUGAAGGAUGACUGCCCUAUGGGUUGUAAACUUCUUUUAUAAAGGAAUAAAACGAGGCACGUGUGCCUUUUUGCAUGUACUUUAUGAAUAAGGAUCGGCUAACUCCGUGCCAGCAGCCGCGGUAAUACGGAGGAUCCGAGCGUUAUCCGGUUUUAUUGGGUUUAAAGGGUGCGUAGGCGGAUCUUUAGGUCGGUGGUAAAUUGGGGGGGCUCACCCCCUCCCCGCCAUUGAAACUGGCGACCUUGAGUGGAAGAGAAGUAUGCGGAAUGCGUGGUGUAGCGGUGAAAUGCAUAGAUAUCACGCAGAACCCCGAUUGCGAAGGCAGCAUGCCGGCUUCCGACUGACGCUGAAGCACGAAAGCGUGGGGAUCGAACAGGAUUAGAUACCCGGGUAC